CAGCGAUGGACAAUACUUUGAAUCAUAAAUUAAGUUAAAAUGCGACGAUUCGUAUUAUGUAUUUAUCGCGAUUACAUUUCAAAAAGAAAUGUGAAGAUCGGCACGCGGCAUAACUACCUACCUGUACGAGCCUCGGAAAUGGAAUGACUGCGGUAACUACACAUAAACGUGACGCAUCACGCCGCUCCGUGCCAUCCCGUAUCAUCUCCUCUCUAAAGCCGCGCGCCAACCUGUCGAAAUAACGAAUAUUACGAA